UGGCUCCGCUCCCCGCCUGGCUGCUCAGCCCUACAGCUUGGGCUUCAGGUUACAGUUAAACGGAUUAUUAGUUCGCCCGACUGAUCUGUGUCCUUUACUGGGGGGCUUAAUUAACUGUCAAAAUCCAGUUACGGCGCGGUUCUCCCUCUGGCUCCGACGGUUUCCCCUCUAGGCUCCUUCUCAAUUCACAGGGCCGGCGAAACGCUCUGCAGCGGGUACAGUCCGAAGCGAGGGUACAGCAGCCACUACAACGUCUUCGGGCUAGCGAGCGUCUCCAGUCCAACUAAUGGCACACAAAAAAGAUACAUAUAUGUCUCAGGAUUCCACGGAACCCCGCCCCUUCCCCCAUUCACAACCACACAGCAGGCGGGGCAUAGAACCUCCGCUCUGGCCAAUCGCCGCUUCUGUUUCCUCUACAGCUCUGCUCGGGAUUGGUUGGAAUAAAAAAAAGGGGCGUGGGCGGGAGAGGAGGCGCCUGGACAGUUCUGGGAGGGAUCUCUCAGCUGAAAAGUUGAGAGAAACUUCCCUCCCCGCCCCCAUCUGUUAAGGGGGCAUCGGGUAGUGGCGAAGACGGGUUGGGUGUGGGAGAAAUGUGCCUGAAAAGAGCUGCCUUUCCCCUGCCCGGAAACACAUUUUUUGAGACUACCAGGCGCCCCCAGCAAAUUCCCUCUGGGAUGCUGAGCUGGAAGGUGCAGUGGAAAAAGGCAGUCCUGUCGGAGAAGGAUCCAGAGAUUGCGCUCUGGGUGGCCUUAGAAAAUCUAAUAUUAAGUAAAGUGUGCACAGGCUUUGAAAAUGUAAGAGCUAUAUAAAUGCCACGAAUUAUUAAAAUGGAAAAACGAGCAACAUCCUCUUCACAGAUGAGGCCCCUGCUGCACAGAAAUAGAUGCUGAGAAACUAUCCUUUGCAGCUGUGUAAGAACUCCAGAAGAUCUUUUUGAUGCAGUUGCUCAGCCCAUGAUGUCCUCCACUAGGUUCUGUCUUUCUUGUCAUAUCAUUUGUUGCAGGUUAGCUAUAAAUCAUGGUCGACUGUGAUUAUGGAUCUGAAAUAGCCCUUCUGCAUCUUCCUCGACAGUUGAAGAAAAGGACAGCGUGAUGCUUCUCAAGGGAAAAAAGACCAUGCCCCUGCCUCCCAAGGAGCUUAAUCUGAAGACUGAAGACAUAACAAACUGAUUGACAAAGAGCAUAUGGGGAGGACACAGAUGACAAAAGGAGGGGGAGAUUGCUGCAGGGGAUGGAUGGAGCUUCCCACAGGGAGAGAGAGGUAAAAGCUGGUUGCAGGAUGGCUAUCUAAGAUAAUUGUUAGCCUAUGGGGUAAUAUUUCAAAGGAUGCCAUGGAAGCAUCAUUGCCUGGCACAUUUAAAAUCAAGCUGGACAAAACAAUUAAGUACGCAAGAGGGAAUAGUUCUGCAUUGGUGUGGAGAUGGGCUAGCUGGCUUACAGAUCUUUCUGCAUUCUGUGACUUAAAAAUGUGAAGUUAAUCUCAUCCUCACUCAGCAGUUUGGUGAGAGAGUGACAAGGAGCUACAUUUAACCCUUUGGUGACACUUUGGGCACCUCUGAUUUGAAGCAAAUUUCAUCUGUUUAAACUAAGGCUAUGUCUACAGUACAAAGAACAGGCAGAAAAAGCAUGGUAUCUUUUUCCGCAUUUCUUACGAAAGAUUUACAAGGAUGCCGAAAAACACAUCUGCUUUUCCGAAAUUUUUUUCGGAAAAGCAGACGCAUUCCUUGGACAUG